rnacentral:lncRNA from 1 species
CCACCGUUGCCAAGGGAUGGGUCCCUGAGACUUGGCGAAGUGGGAGCCCUGUGUGAUCGUGCGUCAGAGUCGGGGCUGAGACCAGCCCCGGCCAGGGUAGUUACCGGGACGGUCUCCGGAGGCCGGGAUUCGCGGAGGGUCCACCAGCAGGAAGAAACCCCAGGAGGAAGAAACCUCAGACAGAUCGCCGGGGAGGCAGCGCGGGAUCCCAGCCUCAGGCGUGCGCGGACGGUGUGCGGGGCUAUCCACUAUAUAAAGAUCUUUAAAAAGGAAAACCUGUAAUAAAUGUGAAGCUAGUGCCUAUUUGCAAGAUGCACAGAAAUGCCUGAGACCAAUUGAAAAUUGCCUGUGAACAAAUACGCUUCCAGAUUUUUAGCUUGCUCUUUUCUAAACAUGAAAAUUCUCAGAAGAUUUUACUGAGAAAUGAGGACCUUAUCUGGACUUCACUGGGAGAAUUAUGAGUGGCCAGAGAUACUACAUUUUGAGCUGGAUGCCAGACCUUGAAAGAACUCUGCAUUUUUCAUUUUGAGAGAAGUCAGUGUGUUUUAUAAUGGGAGGAAGAUUAAAGCAGGUAUUUUGGCAUCAGAAGGACUGACCUUGACAGAGAUUGGUGAGGUCCUGAGAAGAGGAUUAGAAAAAGGCAACACAUCAAAAAGUUAAGAGGCAGAAAUAGCUUUUAUGUUGCUGGUAAAUUUAAUGAGAUCUUAAGUUAUUAGACUGGCAAGUCUCAUCUCUUUGAGCAUCUCAGUGAAGACUGUCAGAAAUCAUCAAAAUUCAACACAACAGAGUAAAAGCUAAUAGCCUUUUUGUUAUACCAAAACUGAAAGGAUUGAUGUUCUUAAGUAACAAAAAGCAAUAAAGAUAAAAUACAGGACAUCAAAGAUAUCACAUACAUUCAUAUAUCUCAAGAAAUGAAAGCAAUGAAAGAGCUGUGGAGGUAAACAUUUGGUACCCAAAAACACAAAGAUGGGAACCAUAAACACUGGAGAUUCCAAAAGAGAAGAGAGAGGGAGCUGGCCAACUGUUGAAAAACUG